rfam:Psychroflexus torquis ATCC 700755 1100007023100, whole genome shotgun sequence.
GAUGGUAAAUCCAUCAGAGUUGUUGUAUAGGCAAUGGUUCUAAACCCCCCCAAGGUGAUUUGAUUGAUAGUCUUGGUAUUGAGCGUUAAGUAUAAUCCAAUCCACUAGGUUGGCAAGU